rnacentral:rRNA from 1 species
CAGUCGCCGCGGUAAUACGUAGGGCGCAAGCGUUAUCCGGAAUUAUUGGGCGUAAAGAGCUCGUAGGCGGUUUGUCGCGUCUGCCGUGAAAGUCCGGGGCUCAACCCCGGAUCUGCGGUGGGUACGGGCAGACUAGAGUGAUGUAGGGGAGACUGGAAUUCCUGGUGUAGCGGUGAAAUGCGCAGAUAUCAGGAGGAACACCGAUGGCGAAGGCAGGUCUCUGGGCAUUAACUGACGCUGAGGAGCGAAAGCAUGGGGAGCGAACAGGAUUAGAUACCCCCGUAGUCCCUGUCUCUUAUAC